rnacentral:rRNA from 1 species
CCCGCUGAACUUAAGCAUAUCAAUAAGCGGAGGAAAAGAAACCAACAGGGAUUGCCUUAGUAACGGCGAGUGAAGCGGCAACAGCUCAGAUUUGAAAUCUGACCUUCGGGUCCGAGUUGUAAUCUGUAGAGGAUGCUUCGGGUGAGGUGCCUUCCGAGUGCCCUGGAACGGGACGCCAGAGAGGGUGAGAGCCCCGUACGGUUGGAUACCAAGCCUAUGUGAAGCUCCUUCGACGAGUCGAGUAGUUUGGGAAUGCUGCUCAAAAUGGGAGGUAAAUUUCUUCUAAAGCUAAAUACCGGCCAGAGACCGAUAGCGCACAAGUAGAGUGAUCGAAAGAUGAAAAGCACUUUGGAAAGAGGGUUAAAAAGUACGUGAAAUUGUUGAAAGGGAAGCGCUUACGACCAGACUCGCGCCCCGUGGAUCAUCCGGUGUUCUCGCCGGUGCACUCCGCGGGUCUCGGGCCAGCAUCGGUUCGCCCAGGGGGAUAAAAGCUCUGGGAAUGUGGCUCUCUUCGGGGAGUGUUAUAGCCCACUGUGGAAUACCCCUGGCGUGGACUGAGGACCGCGCCUUGUGCAAGGAUGCUGGCGUAAUGGUCGUCAGCGACCCGUCUUGAAACACGG